rnacentral:misc_RNA from 1 species
AGUGAAAUGCGUAGAUAUGCGGAGGAACACCGAUGGCGAAGGCAGCCUCCUGAUGCCAACACUGACGCUCAUGCACGAAAGCGUGGGGAGCAAACAGGAUUAGAUACCCUGGUAGUCCACGCCCUAAACGAUGUCAACUAGCUGUUGGGGCCUUCGGGCUCUGGUAGCGCAGCUUAACGCGUGAAGUUGACCGCCUGGGGAGUACGGUCGCAAGAUUAAACCCAAAGGAAUUGACGGGGACCGCACAAGCGGUGGAUGAUGUGGAUUAAUUCGAUGCAACGCGAAAAAACCUUACCUACCCUUGACAUGUCUGGAAUCCCGAAGAGAUUUGGGAGUGCUCGCAAGAGAACCGGAACACAGGUGCUGUGGCUGUCGUCAGCUCGUGUCGAGAUGUUGGGUUAAGUCCCGCAACGAGCGCAACCCUUGUCAUUAGUUACGAAAGGGCACUCUAUCGAGACUGCCGGUGACAAACCGAGGAAGGUGGGGAUGACGUCAAGUCCUCAUGGCUCCAGGGUAGGGCUUCACACGUCAUACAAUGGUCGGGACAGGUCGCCAACCCGCGAGGGGGAGCCAAUCCAGAAACCCGAUCGUAGUCCGGAUCGCAGUCUGCAACUCGACUGCGUGAAGUCGGACCGCUAGCAAUCGCGGAUCAGCAUGUCGCGGCGAAUACGUUCCGGGUCUUGUACACACCGCCCGUCACACCAUGGGAGUGGGUUUUACCAGAAGUAGUUAGCCUAACCGUAAGGAGGGCGAUUACCACGUAGGAUUCAUGACUGGGGUGAAGUCGUAACAAGGUAA